GUGACUAGUGACAGAGAGAGGGAGGGGGUGACUAGUGACAGAGUGAGGGAGGGAAGGGGUGACAAGUGACAGAGUGAGGGAGGUGGUGAUUAGAGACAGACGAAGGGAUGGGGUGACUAGUGACAGUCACCACCUCCUUCACUCUGUCACUAGUCACCCCCUCCCUCACUCUGUCACUGUGUCACCCUCUUCCUCACUCUCUCACUGUGUCACCCCCUUCCUCACUCUCAAUAGUCACCCACUCCCUCCCUCACUCUGUCACUAGUCAC